UCCCGGUAUUCUGCGUGGCCACCAUGUUCUCCAGCUGAUCUUGGAAACGUUCGAUUUCCCGGAUAGCCAGCCUUGUCCAGUUCUCACGGACACUGCGGAACGGAUAUUACUUUAAAGAGAAGGAAGAAAAGUAGAUGGGACGUGCGAUCGAUGAAACUUCGUUGAAACAAGCGACGUCCAGCUACAGCAACGGCAACGCCAGAACGCACCAAUAAUUCGAUUGACUUCUCGGGUCUCGCGCCGAGGUCAUCUUAGCUUCGAAAGGUGGUAUCGAACCGGAAAUGCGACGAUAAAUCGACGAUUUCACUUCCUUUUGCUUCAGUUCGUCUCGCAAGCGUUGCUGUCUCUCGCAUAUUUCAGAACGCGAAAUAAAGUUUUGUAUAAUAUAUGAAUUUCAAACAUGAAUAGAAUUUUCUCAACAUGAUUAUGAACAUACGGUGUAUUAAUUGGAAACUAAUGUAAACGAUGAGAUAAUCGAUAGGAUUAAAAAAUAAAUGAAAUAUACAUAUACUAUAUUCAA